ensembl:lncRNA membrane-associated tyrosine- and threonine-specific cdc2-inhibitory kinase-like
UCCCUGUCGUGUCAUCCCCAUCACGUUGUCCCCGUCGCGUCGUCCUCCCCGUCACCCGGACGCCUGGGCCCGCCGGACUGACCUCCCCUCGGCGUCUCCCCCGGCGCAGGGUUGACGCCGGAGCUGCGGGCGCUGCUGGCGGCCAUGUUGGAGCCGGAGCCGGGCCGGAGGCCCUCGGUGGAGGCCUUGCUGCGCACGGCCGUGGUGCGGCGGGCGGGGCGGUGGCGGGCCCUCACCCGAUUGGCCGACGAGGGGCUGCGGCGGGCGGGGCAGCUGCUGGAGGUGAGCUCCCGCCCCACGGCGCCCCACAGCGCCCCGCCGCCCCACACCUCGGCCUCACCACCUAGCAUCAAAGCGUGGUGGCCCUCCAUAACCACAUACCCAUCAUGCCUCAUGCCGUUCCCCCCCCUUCCAGGACAUCCGGGCCCUGCUACGGUGGCUGUGGGGCGCGCUAUGGGGCCCGGCGCGCUGGCUGCGGGCCCCAGCCACCCCACCCUGCUCCCCACUGCCGCCCCACUUCAGCCCCUCCAGUGACUGGGACGAAGAUGAUGACGAUGACGGCAGCCCCAUGCGAUUGGUCCGCAGCGCCCCGGGGUGGCAGGGCGGGGCCCGGCCUGGCUCACCGCAGGAUAGCCCUACCUCCUUCUCCCGCCUGGGCCGCGUUGUGUCCCCAAGUGCCACCUCCACCCCCCACCAUGACACCACCCCACGGAGCAGCUCCAGGAGCAGGUGAGUGGCUGCCCCACACGUCCCCCGCUCUGCCCCACACGUGUGCCCCCCCCCCACAGCUGACAACCCUCACCCCACAGGUCCACAGCUAGCGCUGGAUGUCCAUUGGUUGGCACUGGGUGUCCAUUGGUUGGCGGUGCGGGAUCUCCAUGGGCGUCAUGGGUCCAUGGAUGGUCCUGGACGUCCCUGGUUGGCCCUAGGCGCCGCCGUCCAUCCCGUGGGGCAGGGGCCACCCAUAGGUGCGUCACGCUGUGGGGCGGGGCUGCCCCAUGGCACUGGAUGUCCAUGGGUGACGCUGCGUCUCCAUGGACGGUGGCACUGGUUGUCCGUGGGUGACACUGGGUCUCCAUGGACGGUGGCACUAGAUCUCCAUUAACGUCUCUGGUGGCCUCUGGCCAUCUGCGGUUGCCUAUGGACAGUGACGGACCUCCAUGGAUGGUAACAGUGCUCCAUGGAGGUCACUGGUUGCCCAUGGGUGGUGACGGGCCUCCAUGGACGUCAUUGGUUGCCCAUGGAUGGUGACAGGCCUCCACGGACGGUGACGGACCUCCAUGGACGUCAUUGGUUGCCCUUGGAUGGUGACGGACCUCCGUGGACAUCACCAGUUGCCCAUGGACAGUGACAGUCUUCCAUGGAUGGUAAUGGUCCUCCACAGACGUCAUUCGUUGCCCACUGACGGUGACGGUCCUCCAUGGACGGUGACAGACCUCCAUGGACGUCACUGGUUGCCCAUGGACACUGACAGUCCUCCACAGAUGGUGACAGACCUCCAUGGAUGUCACUCGUUGCCCAUGGACGGUGACAGUCCUCCACAGAUGGUGACAGACCUCCAUGGACGUCACUCGUUGCCCAUGGAUGGUGACGGUCCUCCAUGGACAUCACUGGUUGCCCAUGGAUGGUGACGGACCUCCAUGGACGUCACUCGUUGCCCAUGGACGGUGACGGUCCUCCACAGAUGGUGACGGACCUCCAUGGACGUCACUGGUUGCCCAUGGACGGUGACAGUCCUCCACAGAUGGUGACGGUCCUCCAUGGACGUCACUGGUUGCCCAUGGAUGGUGACGGACCUCCAUGGACGUCAUUGGUUGCCCA